AUUGAACGCUGGCGGCAGGCCUAACACAUGCAAGUCGAACGAGUGGCGGACGGGUGAGUCAUGUCUGGGAAACUGCCCGAUGGAGGGGGAUAACUACUGGAAACGGUAGCUAAUACCGCAUACCAUCGGAUGUGCCCAGCUGGGAUUAGGUAGUAGGUGGGGUAACGGCUCACCUAGGCGACGAUCCGUAGCUGGUCUUAGAGGAUGACCAGCAACACUGGAACUGAGACACGGUCCAGACUCCUACGGGAGGGAGCAGUGGGGAAUAUUGCGCAAUGGGCGCAAGCCGGAUGCAGCCAUGCCGCGUGUAUGGAGAAGGCCUUAGGGUUGUAAAGUACUUUCAGCGAGGAGGCGUUACGCGCAGAAGAAGCACCGGCUAACUCCGUGCCAGCAGCCGCGGUAAUAC
rnacentral:rRNA from 1 species